UCUGUGUGUGUGUGCAGGAGGAAACAAGGAGACAGUAGGCAGGCUCAAUUCCGAAAAGUAUGACCCUACAGAAGACACGUGGACCGAGAUCCCUUGCAUGCGCGUUCUACUCAAUAUGUUCAACGCAGAAGUCAUCGACGAUAGGAUCUUUGUCAUCAGUGAAUGUUAUGACAAGAAGGUCGCGUGUUUCGAUGACAAGGAAAAUCAAUGGAAUUCGUUGACAAACAUGAAUGUUCAUAAAUUGCUGAUGUCGACUUGUGUCAUCAAGAACCUGCCGAAUGCAAGCGAUUACGCCUACAAACACAGAGACAAAUUAAUGGAGGAGAAACGUAAAAAAAUGUUGUAUUCGACAAAUCAGUAGUUUGCAGUUGAUUACAACCACGACGAACACAUUAAUUUCAAUUACUUUCCCUAUGAAAAUAAUGUAGAAAACUAGGAAUUGAUGUACGAGCUACAAAAAAAUAUAUAAGAAAAUUAUUGUUUGCA